UUUCCGUAGGUGAACCUGCGGAAGGAUCAUUCAUAAUAAGUGUUUUAUGGCACUUUUUUAAAUCCAUAUCCACCUUGUGUGCAAUGUCAGGGUUGAUUUUCCUCUCGAGAGGAUCAACCCCAAACAUCAACUAUAUCUCAACUCUUUGUCUGAAAAAUAUUAUGAAUAAAGCAAUUCAAAAUACAACUUUCAACAACGGAUCUCUUGGCUCUC
rnacentral:misc_RNA from 1 species